rnacentral:tRNA from 1 species
GGAGAUGUGUCCGAGUGGCUGAAGGAGCACGCUUGGAAAGCGUGUAUACGGGUAACCGUAUCUAGGGUUCAAAUCCCUACAUCUCCGCCA